rnacentral:rRNA from 1 species
ACGGGAGGCAGCAGUAGGGAAUAUUGCACAAUGGGGGAAACCCUGAUGCAGCGACGCCGCGUGAGUGAUGGAGUAUUUCGGUACGUAAAGCUCUAUCAGCAGGGAAGAUAAUGACGGUACCUGACUAAGAAGCCCCGGCUAACUACGUGCCAGCAGCCGCGGUAAUACGUAGGGGGCAAGCGUUAUCCGGAUUUACUGGGUGUAAAGGGAGCGUAGACGGCAAAGCAAGUCUGAAGUGAAAGCCCCGGGCUCAACCCGGGAACUGCUUUGGAAACUGUUUAGCUAGAGUGCAGGAGAGGUAAGUGGAAUUCCUAGUGUAGCGGUGAAAUGCGUAGAUAUUAGGAGGAACACCAGUGGCGAAGGCGGCUUACUGGACUGUAACUGACGUUGAGGCUCGAAAGCGUGGGGAGCAAACAGGAUUAGAUACCCUGGUA